GACGAACGCUGGCGGCGUGCCUAACACAUGCAAGUCGAACGGAAAGGCCCUGCUUUCGGGGUACUCGCGUGGCGAACGGGCGGGUAACACGUGGGUGAUCUGCCCUCCACUUCGGGUUAAGCCUCGGAAACUGGGCCUAACUCAGGCCAGAAGCCAUUUUUAGUGUGAUGGUUGGAUAGUUUUGUCGGUGUAGGAUGAGCUCGCGGCCUAUCAGCUUGUUGGAGGGGUUAUGGCCUACCAAGGCGGCGACGGGUAGCCGGCCUGCGAGGGUGGACGGCCACAUUGGGACUGAGAUACGGCCCAGACUCCUACGGGAGGCAGCAGUGGGGAAUAUUGCACAAUGGGCGCAAGCCUGAUGCAGCGACGCCGCGUGGGGGAGGACGGCCUUCGGGUUGUAAACUCCUUUCGCUAGGGACGAAGCUUUUUGUGACGGUACCUAGAGAAGAAGCACCGGCUAACUACGUG
rnacentral:rRNA from 1 species